rnacentral:snRNA from 1 species
CUACUUACCUGGAGGGGAGAUACCAUGAUCACAAAGGUGGUUUUCCCAGGGUGAGGCUGAUGCAUUGCACUCAGGAGGUGCUGACCUCUGUGAUUUCCCCAAAUGUGGGAACCUCAACUGAAUACUUUGUGGUAGUGGGGGACUGAGUUUGUGCUCUCCCAUA